rnacentral:lncRNA from 1 species
CCGACACAUCUGUGGAGUGCGGUCUCUAUGAUGCAGUGUGGGUGAAGCAGGCUCCGUUAAAAGUCUCAAUAUUUGUUUGGCGGCUUUUCCGCAACAGACUUCCUACCAAAGACAAUCUUAUCCGUAGGAGAGCUCUUCAUCACGAAGACAUAUAUUGCAUAGGUGGUUGCGGUUUUCUGGAGACGACGAAUCAUCAUUUUUUCAGCUGCAACAUCUUUGGCAUUGUUUGGCAUCGGGUUUACCAGUGGCUCGGUGACUCUUUCAUUUCUCCAAAUGCUGGUCGUGACCAUUUUCAUCAAUUUGGCCACAUGGCGGGGUUACCGAGAGGUACAAAUUCUUUCUUCAAAGUUAUCUGGCAGGCUUGUGUUUGGACAGUUUGGAAGGAAAGAAACAACAGGAUUUUUAAAAACGAAGCUUGGGAUUUGUCACAGUUAUUAGACACUGUAAAGUUUGUUUCUUUUUCUUGGCUAAAGGUUAAUAGACUAACUUCAGCUUUCAGUUAUAAUGACUGAUGGCGGCACCCUUUAGCUUGUAUGGGGGUUAUGGAGUAGUAGUCUUUUUUUUUUUUUUUUUUUUUCCAUCACUUUAGAUGUGUUUUAUUUGGCAACAGAUACUUGAUUUGUAUUCUUUUGAAGGCUGAUUCUCUUUGCACACCUUGUACGAGAUGAAUAGCUCUUGGUGAUUAUUUAUUCUAUUUUGGCUUCUUAAAAAAAAAAUUAGAAUAUUUAAAUGAAAGGUAUAAUUCAAAUAUGAAAAAACUAGACGAAAAAACAUUUUUUAGGGCAGCAAACACACAUAUCACCUUUAUUUAUAUAGAAUAUAAUAGAUAUAGAUUUCAAUUAUUUCAAAAAAAAGAUAUAUAUUUCAAUCUACCGUCUACAUCACAAGUACAAAACAUUUUCAUUACAAAUUUUUUCUUAAAAUUUCAAAACAUUUAAAUCGAACAUUCAAAAUGAACAUGUAUUUAAUCAGAUCAGCCAUAUAAAUAUUUAUAGAGAUAUUUCAAGAAUAAACAUAUAAAAGUUACACUAUAGUGUAAAAAAAACUUUACACCACCUAUGUAUAGAAAUUAAUCUCUCUUUGUACACAUACAACAAAGCAGGGGUGGCCCUGAGCACGGGCUAAGGGGGCGGCAGUCCAGGGCACCAUAAUUUUAGGGCACCAAAAAAUAUAUUUUUACUACCUAUGUAUGUAUGUAUACUCCUAUAAAAAAAAUGAAAAUGUUAGUUGCUGACAAUUACAAGGGCACUACAAAGUCAAAACUAAUAAAUGACGUUACUAAAUUAAAUAUAAAACAAAAUCAGUCAACUACAUUUACCAAAAAAAUAUUAAUUACGUCCAUAAUUUUAGCAACUAAACCGAUGAGUCAUGAGUGAAAAACAAGUGAAUAAUCUAAUUGAUGCAUAUAUGAAGUAUUAAGAAUAAUAAAGAGUCAAAUUUUUUCCAUUUGCAUAUUAAAAGUUGCAAUAUUUUACCUAAUUUAUGAGUCUCUUUUCUUUCUAAUUCUUAUUACUAGAACUUUUACCCGUGCUACCGCUCGGGUCAUAAACAAUGGAGAAACUAAUAUAACAUCAACAAUAUUUUAGGACAUACAACAAGUGUUCACACAUUUUCGAAUAUCUCUUUAUACACAACAUUUGAAGUGGUGUAAUUAUAGUCCCCAUUGUCAUGCGCUAAUAAUAUCUUCAGACCAUCUCUUAUCUCUUAAUGUAACUCAUCUCAAUUUGUAAACAAAAACAUCUCUCCAUCUCAAUUAUGCAAUUAUUUAAUAGUCAAACGAAUUUUCACUUUCCAGGAAUCAACAUUGAAUUAUGAUCCAUGUGCGUUCUUUUGAUAAACAUAUUGUCUUUAGUUAAUUAAACUUGUCGAGUGAAGCCUAGAUUUUGGAACAUGGAUCCUACCUUAGAGCUAAUUGGUUCACACUUAAAAAAUUCAUACUUGUGUUCUUCUUGCACAAUGUCAAAUGAAAUGUUUAAUAGUCUUCUCAUUCAUUUAUCUUAAUCUUAUCAUUUUUUGUAAAAAAUUUCUUUACAGGGGCACCACUCUCUUGAUUCGUCUAAGACCUCCAAAUUUGUAGGGCCGGCCCUGCAACAAAGUACCGUACACGAAAAUGCAGAUGGACAAACAAUGUUCCCAUUGUUUUUGGGUGAAUUCUAGGGUCUAUCUUUUCACUUGUAUAAAAAAAAACAAUAAAAUUAUUAUUAACAAAUAUAAGAGAUUAUUUUUUAUGCAUUGACAGAUUUUUUUACUACACGCAUCUAAUUAAAUUAUAUCAUAAUAAUAAAUUUUAUUUUAAGGAACUUAUACCAUUAUGACAAGAUUUGAUCGAAUUUAUGUGUAAAAACUAAAAAGAGUUAAAUCCAUUAUAUACAAAUUAAAUCUCAAACAUAACAAUACUACUAUACUAGUAUCAAUUUUGUUAUGGUAAAUAAAGGAAAAAAGUUCAAAAAAAAUAAAUACAAUAUCAAUUUUCUUAAUUUAAUUAAAGAUCAUGUUAACCAAUGUCAAGCAGUCAAAAAAUGAAAAGAAAAAAUAAAAUCAGCAUUGAAAGCAACACUUUUUCAAAUUUCAAAAAAUAAAAUAUACAAUUUUUGAAAAAAUAUUUCCUUUUAUAAUUUCUUAACUAAUGUUCCGGAUAACUGGUUAACAUUUCUUUAAACUAUAGUUACACGGAUACACCAUACUCUCUGUGCAUCUAACUAAACGUCUGAACCGUUGUUGACUUGAGUAGUCCGCGGCUUGCAAAGAAAGUUUCUUUAAUAUUCUUUACUUUUUUGGUCAAGAAAGUUUUGAUAAUUUAAUACUACUACACUGUAUCUUGGUUUCCACACUUAAACUUAAAAUAUGCCUUUUUAUUGGAAAAAUAUAAAUAUGCAUGAAAAAUGAAGUUACUUUUUUCUUAAAUAAAAGCAAAAUAAAUAUUCUUGAAGCUGGACUUUAUAUUUUUUCAAAUACACACCCAAAAAAAAUUAACAAAAAAAUAUAAAAAUUACUAAUCGAACAUAGUAGAUUUAAAUAAUGACUUAGAGUUUUCAUAAAAAGACUAUUUAGAAAAUAAAGAAUUUAUUACCCUAAACAUAACUCAGUUGAUAGAUAUUAUAAUAUACAAUAAUUGUAUCCACAGUCGUAAAUUGACUUUUGGAUUUCCACUUGUUCAUCACCUAUUUGAUCAUCAGAAAUGAGAAUUUAUUUGGUAGCAAAAAAGAAUUUUAUUUUAUAAAAAAUAAAAUAAAAUCUUUUUUUUGCUACUAAAUAAAUUCUCAUUUCUGAUAAAUGUGAACGGUAAAUAUUAAUAGCUCUAUCUUUUUAACACCUUCUCUAACAUAUACCUUUUCAUUCGACAAAAUUCAUGUGCACCCGAGACUUUAGAUUUCAUAUGAAUAUGAAUUUCAUCAAAUAAAAAAAUAAUUGUUAAAAAGAAUGUUUAAAAAGUAAGUGUUACUAACAUUUAUCGUCCAAAAAUAUUGAAACUAUGAAUCAACCUUAUGGUAAAAUUAAUAAAUUAAGAUGGGGUAACACUAUAUUACGAUGGUCCAUACACAGAGAACCACCAUCACUUCGCCAUAACAACGCCUAUAAAUCCGUCUCUCUUCCCGCCGAUUCACACAACAGUGUUAAGCGUGUUUUUACAAUUCUCAACCAUUUUCGUCUCAUCCCAUCCCAUCCCAAAAACCGUUCCUCAUUCGCAAACCCUAAAUCCCACUUUCUCUCUCUUUUUCUUCGUUCGCUUCGUCAAUGGAACUUCGUUCUCGUCGACAACGCGCUUCCGAUGAAAUCGAUUCCGGUAACGAAUAAUCUCUCUUACCUUUACUCUCUCAUUUCUCAUUUUUUUUUUAUUUUUUUUAUUUUUUUAUUUAUUUUUUUCAUUUUUUUUCUGUUGUUUUGAUGUUAAAUUUGUAUUAGUUUAAUGUAAAGAAGCUGUAAAGAAUUAUGAAGCGUUUGUGAUUUUAGUUAUUUUACUUUUCAUUUUUUUAGUCAAUGUUUUGAUCGAAAUCUGAAUUGUGAUGGUAAGGGUGGAUACUUGAUUGUUUUGAUUUAGGGUUGUUGAAGAUUCAAUUUAUUAUGUAUGAUUUUCUGUAGCACACUUCUGAUCGAAGUCGUGUCCUGUGUCUGUGUCAGUAUAGUAUCCUCCGACAACCUAUACAUUCAAUUAUAUCAUUUUCAUUAAUUAUUAACGGCUAAAAAAUUCAAUUACAUUCAAUUGUAUUAUUUUCACCGAUAAUUGCCGGUGUCGACAUGUUGGUGUGUCCUGUGUCUGUGUAAUCGGUGCUUCAUAGGUUCGAUUUGGGUUUUUUUUUUUUUUUUUUUAUUUCAAAUGUAGCAUUGACACUUCUGAUCAAAGUUGUGUCCAGUGUCUAUAUCAGUAUGCAAUUACAUUAAAUUAUUUAAUUUUCAGUGAUAAUUGCCGGUGUCGACGUGUCAGUGUCUGGUGUCCAUGUCUGUGUAGUCGGUGCUUCAUAGGUUCUAUUUGUUUUCUUUUUUUGUGUAGUGUGACGUUGAGUUGAGAAUUUUUAUUUCAUAUGCAGCGCGGUUUACUGUGUUACUGAUUGCUGAUUACUUUGUUAUUUGUUUCAAUGUUUUAUGGAUGAAUUAGUGACUGAUAAGGGGAAGCAGCCGAUGGAGGAUAUUGAUGAAAAGUUUGACUUUAAUACAGAUGAAGAUGAUCAUGUCGCGUCUGUGAAAUGCGAUUCUGAUUAUGAAGGUAUAUUUGCUGCCUUUAUUCAUGUGUUUGAAGUCUUGUGAUGAUUUAUCUAUUUAAGAUGUUAUAUUGCGAGUGUUAUCUAGUUUAUCACAAAGGACAUGAUACUGAUGUUUCUGAAAUGUUUGUUGUCUUAAACUUGAGGAAAUGUUUGUGAUGUGGGAGUUUGUUUAUGAUUCUAGUUAAUUUGUGAUUGGACUUUGAAUGAGGAGUAAAAUUUACUUGGAUAACAUUUUCUUUUCUGUUAAGAUGAAAAAUUGGAACCCUUUUAUACUGCAAAUUUAGUGAUAAAUUUCAUUCUGGUGACAUAGCUGAAAGCUUCUCUUUGAAAAACUUUAAUGCAGCUGAAGAGAUUGGUGGACAGCUCCCCUUUGACUUGAAUCGAGAUCCGACUAUAAUCAUUAGUGAUUCUGAUGGAGAAGAUAAUACUUCUGAUUCAUCUGACUUUAGCGGGCCUUCAUCUAAACGGAGAAAGACACGGUCCAGAAAGAGAGGUAGUAAAUCCAAGAUAGAAUCUGCAGACCUGAGUGGUGUAGAGAGUGCGCUGGAGUUCGACCUGAGUGGUGUAGAGAGAGCGCUGGAGUUCGAUCAAAGUUGUGUAGAGAGAGCGCUGGAGUUCGACCUGAGUGGUGUAGAGAGAGCGCUGCUGGAGUUUGAUGAUGAGUUAUUUCCAAUGGUUUCUGCUGAAGAGGCUCCAUUUGAUUUACCUUUACCUAAGCUGCCAAGGAAGAAAAAAGCAAAGAAGACAAAAAAGGGAGAUCCUAAACCAGUGUUGUUAUGGCAUGCUUGGAAACAGGAACAUGAGAAGUGGAUCGAUCAGAAUUUGCUGGAAGAUGUUACCCUCGAUCAGAGUGAAGUGAUGAAUGAGACGGCCGAGGCAUCGUCAGAUCUGAUUGUUCCGUUGCUGAGGUACCAAAGGGAAUGGUUAGCAUGGGCUUUGAAGCAGGAGGAAUCUGUAACCAGAGGAGGAAUCCUUGCUGAUGAAAUGGGUAUGGGGAAAACUAUUCAAGCAAUUGCCCUUGUCCUUUCUAAACGGGAAUUGCAACAAAUGUGCUGUGAACCAUUUGAACACUCAGAUUCACCCGGGUCAUCUAAAGUCCUUCCUGUGAUCAAAGGAACUCUUGUCAUCUGUCCCGUGGUUGCCGUCACUCAAUGGGUUAGUGAGAUUGCUCGAUUUACUUUGAAAGGAAGCACGAAGGUUCUGGUUUAUCAUGGGCCAAAGAGAUGGAAGAGUGCUGACAAGUUCUCGGAAUAUGAUUUUGUAAUAACAACAUAUUCUACUGUGGAAUCGGAGUACAGAAAGCAUGUGAUGCCUCCUAAGGAAAAGUGCCAAUAUUGUGGAAGAUUAUUUCACCCGCCUAGUUUAGUUUUUCACCAGAAGUACUAUUGUGGGCCUGAUGCUAUUAGAACAACAAAACAAGCAAAGCAAACCAAGAAAAAGAAAAGAGGUCAGAGUUCAAAGUUGGAUGGAGAGUUGGAACAGGGCUCUAUCAAAAAGAAGGAAGAGGAUCUAGAAGGCAAUGACAAGUCAUUUCUCCAUGCUGUGAAGUGGCAAAGGAUCAUAUUGGAUGAGGUCAGUUGUGAUAAUAUAGCAUUAUGGUUAAGACUUAAGAUCUAAUCAAAUUAUACCACUGUCUUUCUGAAAAGUAUUAUUUUUUUGAAUUCAAAGAGUCAUUAUGUAUCUAUUUGUUGUUUCUAUUCUCUUUCCCUGUUUCUAAACUAACGUAAGUUGAUUUUUUCCCCUUGUUUAACUACUGUUAUAGAAAAAUAAAGAAAACAAUGGAUUAUGACUCAAGCUUAAUGUUUUCACUUCGUAACUAUAUUUGUAUAUCUUAUUGUGUUUUGUAUUAUUACAAAUAUUAUAUUGGGUUUGUCUAACAUGUGCAACAUUGCACAUGUUAAAACAACUAAUAGUAGUAACUUUUUCUUGAAAAACAACAAUUAUUUAUUCAAAAAAUUUAUAUUUAAUAUUAAAUGUACAAGUUCCAAUACAAAGUUUCUAUUUUAAACUUCUUAUCAUGUGCAAAUUUGCACAUGAUAGAAAAACCCAUAUUUAUAUUAGGACAUCAUCAUAUUAUGUUAUUUAACCUGUUGAAACUUCAUUGAAUUAGCUUAUUUUUUCCAUUAAUUUGAAAACAGGCACAUUUUAUAAAAUCUAGGCAUUCUAACACUGCAAAAGCAGUUCUUGCCUUAGAGUCUUUCUACAAAUGGGCAUUAAGUGGUACACCCCUUCAGAAUCGUGUUGGAGAGCUAUACUCUUUGGUAAAUUACCAGUCUUUUUGGCAGUAAUAUAUUCAUUGUUUUUUAUAUGAUUUGUCAAAUAAAACACUUCCUAAAAGCUGUUAGGUGAAGGAUAAGGAAUGUUUUAUAUAGCUUAUAGCUUAUCCAACAUAAUUCAAAUACAAUGACAUGUUUAUGCAGGUACGAUUUCUACAGAUAGUUCCCUAUUCCUAUAACCUGUGCAAGGACUGUGAUUGCAGGACACUUGAUCAUAGGUAUGGUUUACAUUCCGUAUAUUCAAUGCCCUUUUUGGAAUUUAAUUUAGCAGGCAGUGAUUUUAAUCAAGGACUUAAUAUAUAUUACUAAGUGUUUGAUUAUUAUUUUUUAUACUUGUUACGAAACUGAGUUGUUAGCUUAUUUUUCUUAUGUUAUCUCAUCAUAUAAAAUACUACUACAAUCUUGAAGGACUUGAUGUAUCUAAUGCCGUCUGGGCGCUGCUCAUGUGGAACCGAGACAUAUGAUAUGCCUUCAUUUUUGGAGGAUAUUCAUAUCUAAAUCUUUAUACUUAAUAUUGUUACAACUUUGCAAACAUUUGAUCCGUCUUCCGAAGCGUUUUCUCUGUUUGAAUGAUUUAAUUAGAAGUUCUGUUUUUACACUAUUGCAUUGUUCACUUUUUUUUUAUCAUUAUUUCAUUGUUUACUGAUUAUAUUCGCUAUACCUGUGCUCUUUUGCAGCUCCUCUAAAGUAUGUUCAAACUGCUCCCACAGUUCUGUUAGGCAUUUUUGUUGGUGGAACAAGGUAAGUUCUGCAGUUUUUGGUCUUUUUUGGUUGGGUUCUCCAUAUUAGAGAGAAUGAGAGAAGAGUUGUUCCUUGUAAUUUUAUACACAAGAUGUUUUAGCUGACGUUUUUUUAACCAUUUGUUUAAUCUUGAUUAGAAUAUUGCCACACCAAUUCAAUCAUCCGGCUAUGGUGAUGAUGGGAAAAGAGCUAUGAUUUUGCUCAAAAACAAACUUUUAAAGAGCAUAGUCUUAAGGCGAACUAAAAUAGGCAGGGCUGCUGAUCUUGCACUUCCGCCUAGGAUCGUGAGUUCUUGUUCCCCGAUGACUAAGUAUGGAUUUCUUCAUAUGAAGAGACUACAAAUUUAUUUCUACAACAUUUCUUCUUGCAGGUUUCAUUGAGGAGGGAUAGCCUGGAUAUAAAAGAGCAAGACUAUUAUGAAUCACUAUACAAUGAAAGUCAGGCACAAUUUAAUACGUAUGUCAAAUUCCUUAUCUUACUGCCUAAAAUGUGGUAAAAUGUAGUUCUGUAUUUGAAGAAAUUGAAAUGUGUUUGACAUGAAUGACAUUAUAUUUAUUUGGUGGGGUUGGAUUUGUGGAUCAAAUCACUAAACUGUUAGUGAGGGGAAUAUGAGGGUAGCAAGGCGAGGGAGGAAAUCAUUUUAUUGUUGAUUGUUGGUUAGGAGAGUAUUCUCUCUGGUAGUAGCAUUCCUCUGGUUUAUUUCCUUUCAUUGUAGAGCCUUUGUGCUCAAUUUACAGGAUAACUCGCAUACUUCCUCUUUGAAUUGACGGGUCUAUCAAACUGCUUCUAGAUUUCCUUCACGCAUAAUUAUUUUUUGUUAUUUUUUAUCAUUUUUUUGGUUGGUAUAAGGAAAAUAAUUAUUGUUAACCCACCAUUUUACCUUUACAAAAAUGAAGAUGGAAAAUUGGAAGGAAAAUAAAUGAUGGUAAUGUUUUGUUGAUUAUAUACACUAGCAGAAACCUGUUUGUCACAGUUAUCUUUUACGGUGAAAAAUAAAUUACAGCAAGAAGGAAAGGAGCCUCAGUAAAAGUUAUUAUAGAGGUUAUUUUUUAUUUUAUAUUGGGCUUGAGAAGUCAAGCGUUAACUGGACAAUAUUUGUGCACCCCAAAACCUGCUAUUAAUAUUGUAGAUAGUAAUAGUUUAGUGUCUCUUUUUCUAUUUAACCAUGCUCAAAUUAAAUAGCUGUAUACAAAUGUUUAACUUAUGAAAUGCCGACAAGACAAAGCCUUGCAUGAUUUUUUUUAUUUAAGCCAUGGUUUUAUGAAUUUGCUUUCUCUUUUGCAGGUAUGUCGAGGAAAAUACUCUGACAAAUAAUUAUGCUCAUAUUUUUGACCUCCUCACACGACUACGUCAGGUGAAUGAUAAGGGAACAUAAGAAAUCAGAAUUUAUUUUAUGGAACAUAAGAAAUAAGAAAUAAUUAUGGACACUCGAAAUAUUGGCCAUGCAUCGCUAUUGUAUUUUGAAGUUCUUGAAUUUCUAAUCAUUUUAUUGUGUUUCUAACUCUUUUUAGUUUUUCCUUGCUGGUGAAUUCAUUUAGAAUCUAACAUUGGUGUGGAAAUUAGGUUUGGACUAAAAUAUACAGCCUGAACUUCAGCUUACACAGAAAACAAAGUCAUCUCAAUCAGCUAUUAAUUUACAAAAAAAGAAACUUUUUUCAAAUUAGAAUCUGGUAGCAAGAACAAUAAUCAUAAAUCGGAAAGGCACCGUAGGAUAGCAAUUCAAUAGUUUUAUUUUAAAACCAAGUGUCUGUCUGAAAUAUGGUCAAAUGCUUUAUGCUGUUUUUCAAUCCUUAUUUUGCAUUUGGGAACUAGGAAGUAAGUUUCCUUAUUUUCUAGUAAAAUAUGUAUGUUUGUACUCUUUUGCCUCUGGAAGGUGUAUGUGAUUUUCUGCCCUCCGUCUUACACAUCUCUGGCUUAAAUAUACAGGCUGUGGAUCAUCCAUAUCUUGUAGUGUAUUCUCCAACUGCAGCAGCACGGCAAGGUGGGAACUUGGCUAGUAAUGGUGAUGUUGAACAAGAAUGUGGCAUUUGUCAUGAUACUGUUGAAGAUCCAGUUGUUAGUACAUAUUUUCUUUUUCUAAUUAAACUUACUUCGUGCUUCUAUAUAAUAUAAGCUCCUCCUGCUAAUUUUAAUGUACUACUGAUUUUUCUCUUCAAUUCUUUUACUAUAUUGAUUCAGGUUACUUCUUGUGAGCAUACUUUUUGCAAGGGAUGCUUGAUAGAUUUCUCUGCUUCCUUAGGACAAAUAUCAUGCCCCUCAUGCUCUAAAUUACUCACUGUUGAUUUGACUUCCAACAAGGAUGCAGUGGUUGAUAAAACAACAACAAUUAAGGGUUUCAGAUCUUCAAGCAUUUUAAACAGGAUUCAGAUUGAGAAUUUUCAGACAAGUACUAAAAUAGAGGCAUUGGUAUGUAUAAAUUUGUUGUUGGAUGAUAUUAUAUAUGAUGUUAAGCGUCUUUAUUCCUGGCAAGUAUGAACAGUUCUACUAGCUUUGAGUUGUUUUUUUCCUUUUACCUGCAAGAUGUAAUUGAUAAAUGGAUUAAUGCUUGCUAGAAUACAUUUUGAUUAUCUGCAAGUGGGAUAUUGAUGCAAAAGUUGAAUGUUGCUGCCAUGUGACCAAGAAGUAAGAGGUCUUGGGGGGGGGGGACUUGCAUUUUGACAAGCAUAACUUUUUUUUUAACAUGGCAACACGAUAAUGCUUUUAUCAGUGGUGGAAAUUCUCCGUCAAGUGCAUAUAGUUUACUAUGUAAUUUAUACUCUUCUUCUAUCUGAAUGAGUUCAAAUUGUCGCAGAGAGAAGAAAUUAGAUUUAUGGUUGAAAGGGAUGGUUCUGCAAAGGCGAUUGUUUUUAGCCAGUUCACAUCAUUCUUGGAUCUCAUCAACUACUCCCUGCAGAAGGUAAAUUUACUUGUCACUUUCUGUUUUAUUAAUAAAUGAAAAAUAGGGAUGAUGACAUGGUGAGCUAAUUGCAGUCAGGUGUAUCUUGCGUUCAAUUGGUUGGAAGUAUGACAUUGACUGCUCGGGAUAAUGCCAUUAAGAAAUUUACUGAUGAUCCAGACUGCAAAAUUUUUCUCAUGAGCUUGAAAGCCGGAGGCGUUGCUCUGAAUUUGACUGUAGCAUCUCAUGUGAGUAAUCUCCUUUUGCAUGUUUAUGUCAAUCUUUUGGUUUUUUAUGGUGUUUAAUUUUAAGUUGAGUUGUGAAAUAUCCGGAAGUAUGUUCUACUAGUCGCAUUUGGUUGUAGAAGUUAAGCAAUCCAUUUUCUGAGCUCAUCAUACAUUCUACAAUUCUAUAUAGGAUGGGAGUUUAAUUAUUGGAGUUUUUUCCGAUUGUUAAAUUUCGGCUCUGCUUGGUAAAAGAUAGCAAAUAGUUGAUAAGUGCAUGGCGGAAAAACUAGCUGAUGGAAUUUCUAGUGUUUAAGUUAUAAGCUUUAAGCUCAAAAACAUGUCUUAGCAGAUAGACCCAUUGUCUUUCAAUUGACUUUCAAUUUUAAGUUAUUGCGUUUCUAUUUCUGUUUUACAUACUUGAUUCUCCUGCUAUCCUGCUUUAUAUAUUCAUCCAAUGUUUGACCCAAACGGACUACUUGUUGAAUACUUAUUGAAUGUUUGAUGGGUUUGAAUAUGUUACUUAUUCCGCGAACUGUUUUCACCAUUGAGUGAGACAUGUAGGCAUUAAAUGGACUACUUAAAUUUUCUUUUUUUAUUUCUGUUGUUGCCGCUAUUUAAACCUUUGAUGUAGAUUGUGACUGUAAUCAAACAUUUUUUUAAUCUUAUUUUGCCAUUCUUAAGUUGGGUUUCUCUCACAUGGUUAACACGUGCCUCCGUUCAUUGCACAAUUUCAGGUUUUCCUCAUGGAUCCUUGGUGGAACCCUGCAGUGGAGCGUCAGGCUCAAGACAGAAUUCACCGGAUAGGGCAGUACAAACCAAUCAGGUACUGCUUCUUGUACUCUAUUACUCUAACACUAAAUUUUUAAAAUAGAGUAGGAAAUGCAAAAGUUAAUAGAAAAACAUGUAGGCUGGUCUUUUAUUAUGAAAUUCCAACAUUAUUUUCCUGUACAGAAUUGUGAGAUUUGUCAUUGAAAACACAAUCGAGGAGAGGAUUUUGAAACUUCAAGAGAAGAAGGAACUGGUAUUUGAAGGGUAAGUUUGAAGCUAUAAUUAAAUUGAAGGUGAUCUGCAUAUUUUUCCAUAAUAAAUAAUGACAUUUCCUUUGUUGUUCCUCCUUUAAUAGGACUGUAGGCGGUUCUUCAGAAGCCCUAGGGAAGUUGACGGUGGCCGACUUGAAAUUUCUCUUUGUUACUUAAGCUGGCCUGAUAGCUUAACUGGAAAAUUUGUUGAUGCUUGAUAUACAUUUUUUGGUGACUAUUUUUUGAUGAAAUUUAUCAUGCAACUGCCAUGUAGCUUACCAGUAUCUAUGAGCAGUAAACGCAUUAGCAUUAGCGUGAAACAUGAAUUAUGCGGGUGUUGUGACUUUUUUUGUUAACUAAAAUGAAAUAAUGGGUAUAAAUUUGGUUGAACCAAAUACUUAAUUUUAAUUUUUUUUUUAGGUUAUGUUUCAUGUUUGGAUUGACCUAAAAGGAUAGAGCGAAGUGAUUUAUGUUUUAAAUCCACAUAUAGUUCUGACACUUAUUAUGUUGAAUUGAAUAAUGACUUGAUAAGACAUUGGAUGAUGAAACAAUAUGCAUAUGAUUUAAGAUUAAAUUUACAUAUCCAUUUAGGCUUGGUCUAGUGGUUGACUUGGGAUCUUGGAGUGUGUCACUCACAAUGUCUCGGGUUCGAUAACAUCUGGUGUCAAUUUUGGUGGGCAAGUUCAUACAGAGCUUUCCAUAUUGACGUUAAACAUCCAAAAAAAUCGGAUCCGUUUACUUUGUGGAAAAUAUUUUUUUAUUUUUCGUACUUGUUUUUAAAAUUUCAAGUUUUGGAAAAAUUAUAUUCAUCUUCUUUAUAACUUGUUUUUAGAUAAUGAUUUUGUCAUUAAUCUUCUUUUCAUGUCAUUUUUGUUCAUUUGUCAACCAAAUAAUGUGAACCAUAAAUUGUAUGGCAAGGCUCAAUGUUUCAUUGUCCAAAGCACAAGACAAUCCUAACCAAUUUAAGAUAGAAUGUCAUAGACAACUAAACCUUUCACAUGUAAAUAAAAGAUGAUGAUUAAGGCUUUCCCUAGCACCACAACGGCCAAACCAUUGAGAGCCAUUAAUUGACACAAUCUUGUGCCUUACCAAAUUGUCCUAGCUUGGAAGACGAUUUUUCAGUAACGAUUUUUUUUUUUAAUGGCAAAAUAUAUUAUAUAUAUAGAUAGAUUAACAUAAGCUAUAAGGGGAUUAAAUUCUAAGUAUUAUACCAAAAAGAAAAAAUAAAAACACCAAAAACUUCCAAUGAAAAACCACCGGCCAGCACCCUCAAAUAUGCUGAAACCCCUAACAACAACUCCUCCAUGAACCAUCACUACCAACAGAGUUCAAUUUAGCACCCGAUAACUAUUUUUGCUUCAAACAUUCAGCUUCGACCACCACUCAACAUCUGGUCUGUCGGAGGAGACAUCACAAAAGCCUAAAAGGACAUAGGCAAAAAACUAGCUCCUGAUCUCGAAUCAAAAGUGAUCGGCCCACUAGGCUCUCGACACCAAUCAUUUAGGCACCCCUCAACUCACGAACCACUAGAGUAGACACCUUAACCUGUCCAAAAACUCGGCCCACAAUAAACCAAAUGCCAAAUUCCUAAGACAGAGAAAAGGUGAAACAAUAGCGCAAAGCGAACCAGCUCGAACACAAACAAAUCAAAACAAGCCACAAAAUACAUGAGCACCGUUACAGCGCCACCCACCAGCAACCCAACGAAAACAAACCACCAUCACCGGAGGGAGACUACCACCCAAACGAGCACCUGAACCUGAAUAGACCGGCACACACCCCAACCCUCGACUAGACAACCACAAACCAUCACGAUCCUUACGACGACGAACGAUCCAGUAGUUACAAAGAAUGAUGAUUAAUCGUGAAGGAUCUGCAACCGCCGGCAACAGAGCGGUCAUGAAGGCCUAAAGUGUGACAAAUGACUACUCCGUCAACACGAAGCAUCUACACACCUAGCUCUUUUGAGCAACAACAACCAAACAACCAAAUCUUAAAUCCAAGAGAACAGGAGGCCCGUCGGCGGCAAGGCUCCGGUGACACAAAAUGGAAACACAUACAAAACACAGUUCCAACAACUCACGGAAACCGUCCUUGUACCACAAAAAUGCAACAAAAACAAAACAAAUCCAAGCAAAACAAAACCCCAAUCCGCAAAACUAACCACCGAACUUGAAUCAUGAAUCCAAAAAGCUUCUCACAAAACCAGAUCUACAAAGAACUCAGAUUCGCAUAAAACGCUUCAGAUAACACAAAACCAGAGCACGGAGGACACAAAAGGACCAACGUGAAUCGAAGCAGAACGCCGCGGCAGCAGGCCGACGACGCGAAGGGUGGUGCAACCAUAUUGAAAUAGUGAACUGGCACACAGUUGGGCAAGAUCCACCCAAAAACAGUUGACCCCAUCACAACGCAUCAAACAUACCUCAUUCUAUGACACUCUAAAUCCCAAAAAUAAUUAUUACUAUUAUUUAAUUAAAAAUAGAGUUUGAUUCGCAGCAGAACGUGUCAAAUAAAAACUUCUCUAAUAAUAUAGGAAUUCUUCCACAAGAUUUAGGAUAUCACAUUGACUCAUAACAAACAUAAUUCAUAUUUCACUUCAUUAAAUAUUAUAAUAAUAUUAACAUCAAAUCUUUUGCUUUUGAAAAUACUUUCUUUUACAUCAUAUACAAUAGUUUUCUUGUACAAAACGAAAUAAUUAAGCAUAUCCCUUUUUCUGUGUCACUAUCAGACCGGUGCUUUUCCCCAAAAUAACAGACGACACAAGACAAGUCUUCACGAAAGGCAUGUACUUGACUCCAAGACUCAUAACCUAUAUAACUACGGUUUCACAACCGUAGGGCCAAGCCAACAAACACAAACAACGAAGGGUGAGUUCCGAGAAAAUGUAAUAGUAUAAAAAAAUGAGAAGAACACGUAAGCAGUUAAGUCAAGUCGUAUCAAAUCACAAACAUAAUAUUCAGAACCUUGAAGAAUAUACUAUAUCAUGUCAAUCCAUAUUAGUAGAAAAUAUAAUUACAGCUUAAGAACCAAAAUCUUCACAAACACAAUGUCACAAUUCAAUUUCAAACUAGUCACAACACAUAUAGUCACCAAUAACCAUCUUCAUAAGAACAUCAACAGAUAAUCACCUUCAUCGUCUCACACAAUUACUCUUAUUCACCAAAUACAAAUCAUCGUCAAAUUUUAUGCAUAUGGACUCAGUCCUAAGACCUAUAUGAAUGUGGUACCACACCUAUCGUCAUAAUUUGCCAGAGGUAUGUUACUAGACUUUCAUCGUCAUAAUUUACCAGAGAUAUGUUACUGGACUUUCAUCGUCAUUUCGUCAUCAUGAUUCCUAGACACAACUCUAUAUGCAUGCAUGAGAUAGACUCUUCAAGUAUUAAAAGAUCAUAACAUCACCAACAAAUCAGAAUCAUAAAUGCAGACUCUUCCUAUUAUGCACAACAUCAAGACAAAACACAUCAUCGCCAUUCACAUCGUCAUCAUAAGUAAACAUUGUCAUUCUCAUCAUCGAUGUAUAUUAAAUAUCACCAUACGUCAUCAUUCUCAUCGUCAAUAUAAAUUAGACAUAGUCAUUAUCAUCAUCAAUUAAAAUAGACAUGCAUUUUAUCAUCAUCAAUACAUUUAGUAACAUCACCCUAAUCAUUAUUAUAAAAUGAACGUCAUCAAUAUGUCUGAAUGAGGUCAAACCAAAGAUAAAAGAAAGUUAAUACGCAUAUCUACAACUUUCAUGAAGGAACCUAAAUCCAAUUCGAUACAGAGAGGGGUGAAAAGGUUGGUUUUUCCUAAACCUAGACAUAAUGUACAACCGUGCUGACCUCUGUGUAGUAUUUUGAUCAUAACUCAAGUUUUUGAUGUUCUAUUGGAGUCGCUCCAAAGCUGCAUGAAAACUGACAUCCAUAUUUACAACUUUUAUGUUUAUAUCGAAACCUAGUUCAGAAUAUAAAAUAGUUGAAAAUUGGUUUUCCUAAGACUCGAAAAAGAGCACGACCCUGCUGACCCAUGGGCAGUAUUUUGAUCAUAUCUUGAGUUCUAGCUUUUGGGAUGAGGUCAAACCAACGCCCAAUUAAAGCUAACACUCAUAUCUACAACUUUCAUGAAGACACCGAAUCCUAACUCUCAACAGAAAAGUCCCAGUGUUUAUUUUUGUUUUCGAAUUUUCUGCGAUUUCGCCUUAGGGGACCUUUCCUAACUUCGUUUUCGACCCUAAAUUCGCCAAACUCGACCCCAAUCUUCACUCCGUGAUUAACCUAUCAUUCAAACACUAAUCAUUUGUUAACCUACUGAUUUAUUCACUCUUUAUAAGACUAAAAACUUAAUUAAAAAAAACUAAACUAGUUUUCCUCAAUUCUCAUCUUUCAACUUCAUCUUUUCAAUUCGUUCAUCAUCAUUCUCUCAUCAAAAUUCACAUCAUAAUAGUAACAACAUUUUAAAAUUUAAAACAAAUCUUCCUUCAUAGAUUAAGAUACCCUAAAGUGCAAAGAUUCUUCCCCUUACAUCUAUCCACUCGUUGGCCUAAGAUACUCCUUAAGAGUACCAUCUACAACAUAAACUGGAACCAUCACUACCUUGUCAUAUAAAGAAUAACAUCAAUGCUUAUUCAUCUCAAAUCAACAUCCCAUUCAUCAACACUUAUCAUAUUUUCGAUCACACGUAAUCAUAUUCCAAUAGUCAUCAUAUACAUGUGACAUACCAAAAAUUACAUUCAAAUACAUAACGUCACAUCUAUAUCAAUCAUUAAAUAAGUCAUCAAUCUAUAUAGUUGCAGCAAAUCAAGCAUAAGCACACACAAAUUUAUCCAUGACUUCAAAUACCACAUAUUCACAUAAUUCAAAUCAAGCAACACCUUAAUAAUGUUUCUAAUUCUUCUUUUAACCUCCCACGUCUAAAUUUGCACAUUAAUUAAUUAUUCUCUCAAAGGGCUACAACCGUUGCGGUAAGCCUCGAAUAAACUUUGGGAAAUACGAUUUUCCCGUUCAUCUCAGUUAAUUUACACUCAUGAUCUCAAACUCUUCUCUCUCACCCCAUACCUGGUUUGAUGCAUGUAGGACACAAGGAUAAAAAGAAUUUCAGCAGCAAAAGAAGAUCGGUAGCACACAACCAACAAGUUAAAUGGUUCACCGGCAGAAUCACGAAUCAAAAAUAUGGCCAUGAAACUGAAGUAGAUAAAAUAGUCACAAGGAAGGGGGGGUUUGAAUUGUGACCCUUUAAAAAUUAAACCUGUCACUUAAAAGUUAUUCUCAAGUUGAUAACUUGGAAUGGUUAAGUUAACAGACAGACUUCAGAACGUUCUGAAGUGUUAGUAUAAAAACAAUUUAAAUAAUUAAAUGUGUUUGUGUGUGUUGUGUUUACUGUAAGUAAAUAGUAAAGAGAAGAGAAGAAAAACACAGAAAUUUAUAGUGGUUCACCCAAUGUGGGUUAGUCCACUCCUCACAGUUUUGUGAGAUUUUCCACUAUGAUGCUUGAGAUAACUUCUCAAAUCCUGCACCUUACAACCUUGUUCACCUGAACAAUUACAACAACUGUAUUCUCUUAGCCUCAGCAGGCUUACACCUUUCUUGCUAAGUUACCCACUUAGACUUUACACCUUUCUACUCAAACUAACACUUUAGUACCCCUAAAGCUAGAUGAGACUUUCUUUACAAUUUGUAUGGAGUUUGAAUGAUAUAGAUCAGACAAGAGAAGAAUGGAGGUUGAGAUUUAUCUUUGAAAAGAUAAGAGAGAUAUUGAUUUAUACUUUUGAAGACUUCUUGGAAUCUUUGUGAUGAUCAAUAUUUUUGCUAAAGCUUCAAACACUCUUAUGUUGUUUUCUUGUAUGCUUUGCAAAGGUGUAUGUUAUGUUGAGGUCUUGAUCUCUAUUUAUAGAGUUCUUGAGCCUUUGUAGCCGUUGGAGAGUGACCACUGGUCUUAUGUCACGUGUCCUGGGACCCACCAACUUUAACUUGAAAUUCUGGGCAAACUGAAAUACUUCAGAAUGUUGUUGUGUUCUUGAUAAUACUUCAGAAUGUUGUUGUGUUCUUUAUGAUCUUCAUCUGGGUUCAUGUGGAUGAACGGUCAUAUAUGCAUCUGGGCUUUUGCAGAUGAAUGUCACAUGAAUUUCUGGGUUGUACUUUGAAGAUUUGCUUUGUACGACUUCAGAAUGUUGAUAGAACAGAUCUUCUUUGAAAUCUGUCUUGGAGCGCGUGCAGGAUCUCAUAAAGUGGAGCUGUCACUUCACUUCCAUGCUUUAGGGGAUUUGGUUUGCUUUGUACAGUACCAACUCCCUUUUGUGUCGAGAUCUUGUUGAAUCAGAUCUGAUCUUGCUUUUGACUUUGCCUUUUGCUUUCCAACCAUUGUACUGUUCACGUCAGAAAAAGCAUGGAGCAGGAUUGAACUUUCUGAACUCAGGGGACUUCAGAAUGUUUCUUUUGUUUCACUUAGGAUGAUUUGUAAGACUUGUAAUUGAUGUAAUCAAUUCCUAAUAGUGAAACAUUUAUGAAGUGCAGCAUGGAAAACAUCUAGGAUGAUAUUCUUAAUGGAAUAUUCCUAAUGUUUUGUACUUCAAAUGUUCAUAGUCUUGAAUGAACAUUGAAGAUGUCCUUUUUGACUUUAAUCAAAUAAAUGGUUUUAUUCCUUGAUUGAUCUUAGUCAUGUACUUUUCUAGGCUUUCAUUUAAGUCACGUGAACCUUGCAUGUUCUUCAUUUAGUUCAUGAAUUUCUGGACUUGGUUCUUGAUGUUCAUCAUGAACAACCUUCUGAACUCUGUCCAACCUUCUGAACUCUUUUUAACUUUCUGAACUCUAACUGAGUUCUUAAGUCUUUAUGUCCUUUGAUUCUUUGUAUCUUGAUAUGAAUUGAAACUUGUUCUGUCUUAGUUAAUCACUCAAGAGCACAAGUUAAAUACCAACAAAUUAAUCAAAGUCCAUUAAUUCCUUAAUCAUCAAAGUUUGUUAUCUUUAAAAUAAAUUAAAGAUUUUGCCUCAACAGAAACUAAUAGCUAUGUUGAUCUUGCUUCUGUUAUCGGUGUUAUUUCUACAUGUUCUACCUUUGCUUCAUAGCAGCCCUGUUUUUUUUCCUUUAAUUUAUUCUCAGGUUGCCUAUUAGGUUAUGGACAUAUACAAUCGUAGUAGGCUUAUACGUUGUUACACUAAUUUGAUCUACUGUGGAUGGCUAUGGCACUUGUUCCCUGGUACCCAUCCUUGUCUUCCACGUCACUCAAUAUCUAUUAAUAAAUGUGUCCCAUUAUUAUAGGAUUAUUUAGCAUAGGCAUUUGUCAUCGAUUUUUCUUCUUCUAUUAGUAAUUACUAAUUAGUAAUAACAAUAACAGUUCUAUCUAAUAAUAUUUUUUUUUGUCAACAAAAUACUAAUCAGUCAAUCCACUCGCCCAUGACUAAAAUUUUAGACUCAUAAAUACUCAUAGUAAACUACUAUCAUUUUUCUAAAAUAAUUAAAAUAAAAUAUGCACACACUUCUUAUUAAUUCACACGAUGUCGUAAUAAUAGACAAAAAAAACAUGUAUAAAUAAAAUCCCUUACAAUAAUAACUAGAGAUUUAUACCAUGAACACACACAUAUAUAAUAUGGAAAAUUUGGGGUGUUACAACUUCCCUCCUUUUCAACCAACCACCCAACCUGGAAUAAUCUUGCGACGACAUAUCAAACAACCGACAAAGAUAUACCGAAGAAGAAAACCAAGUGAAAACGAAGAAGAAAAAUCGUGGAUUUGAAAACUAAGUGCUAGAUUGCGAAAGAUCUAAUGCAUCCACCGUAUGAGGGAGGUGGCGUGGUGGUGGGGAGAACAAUCUCGUCACACCUAUAGUUGCAUCUUAUCACCUUCAUCCACACGAUUAAGAAGCCUAUAACAUCAUUUACCGAAUAAACAUCGUUAACAGUAGACCUCCAAGACCACUUGUCGGAUACAUUUUCUUGAAAGAAAGAAAAAAAGUUAUCCGAUUUGGCAUAACAUAUAUAAAAGGAUGCAAAUGUACAUGUGAAAAAACACAACUACUUAAGUAAAAAGAUACACAAUGAAGGAGUGCAAUUGGACUUCUAUAAGUAUAUGUAACUUGAUGAAAGUUACUAACUUUUUUCGUGGUGGCUGGAGUUUGAACCCCGGACCUUGCAUAUAUUAUGCAUUGUCUCUACCAACUGAGUUAACCUCAGAAGGACAAUGAAAGUUAAUAACUAACCAAAGGAUUAAGGGUUCUCGCUCUCCAAUAAAAUAUUUUUUAAAUCAACCAUAAAGAACAGAUCAUGAGAAAGAACAGAUGAGAAAUAGAUAAACUGGAAAUCAGAUGAUAGAGAUUUAUGUUUUCUAUCAUGGAUGAAGGUACAUUGUUUAAAUGUCUUCAAUAUGUGAGAAUUAGAUGAUCCAAAAUCUUUAUGAUGUAGUUUUCUUAAACGUAAACAUAAAUGUGAAAACUAUAACUUAUAGUAGUAUCUUCCGUAUUACUACCCACUUUAACUAAAUGAUCAAUAAACCAAUUUCCAUCUUCACAUUCCACCCCAUGAAAGAUACUAAAAAUGUUUCUCCAUCAUCUCGAUACCACACUUUCCCUCUUAGUAAUGUACGACUAAGACCUUGGAGUGCAUUUAUCACCUGAUCUCAAAUUCGAAUUCUCUUUAUGUCAAUUUUUAUGGGUUAGUCCAUGCAAAAUUUUGCUCGGACUUUAAUUAGUUUCUCAUAUCAGUCGGUCAUUGAACAUUAUUCUUAACUUUAAUUCAUUUUUAUUUUAUUUUUUGACAAGAAGAAACUUAUUGAAUUUCAUUCAUGAUAAUAGUAGAGAUACAAGAUGGAAUCCUAAUAUGAAUAUGGAAACUAGCAUGACUCGAAGCCACUCUAGCAAAGCUAUGAGCAACUUCGUUGGCUUGUCUCCGAAUAAACCUAACAUCAUAGGUUGCCAAAUCAGAAGCUAACAUGCGUCUACAGUCAUUGAUCACUGCGCUAAAAUUAGAGACGCCACAAUUACUACCAUAGAGACUAUCUACCACAGUUUUGGAAUCAAGCUCAAAGUCCACAAUACCUAGCUGUAGAUCGCAAACCCAAUACAUUGCAGAUAAUAAACCUAAAGCCUCACCCAACUCCACAUCAAGGAGCGGAGUCAUCCAUUCAGUUUUGGCUGACACAUAUCGACCUUCUUCAUCUUGAAUACACACACCAAUGUCGACUCGAUUCAGAGCUUGAGAAAAUGACGCAUCAACAUUACAUUUAAACCUUCCGGGACUUGGUUUAAUCCACUUAAAAUCAUUCAGAGUAGUGGGAGACUUAGGGAUGAGAUGACGAAUAGUCUGAGCAUUCCUCCAUCUAGUAAGAAGAGAACUUGCACGAGCACAAAUAGCUUAAGCUGUUUCAGUAACAUUGUUACAUACCUUAUUGUUUCGAUGCUUCCAUAUACUCCAAAGGGCCGCGCUGAAAACUUGUUUCAUAUCUUUCAUUCAUAAAACUAAGUAAAAUUAGCGAUCAAAAAAAUAAAUAAAAAAAAUUAAAUUCAUCAAAAUUAAAAAAGGUAAAUAAAAAUAGAAUCCAUCAAAAAAAAAAGAAAAACUCAAAUUCAAAUCUAGAAAAAGCAAAAAAAGAUACCUACCUAAACCAAAGGGUUUGUGUACUUUAUUGGACCAGCACACAAUCAAAUCAAACACUUAACCCAAACCGACACGCUUCAUCAUAUUCACUUCUCUUCACAUUCUCAUCUCUUUCAAUUCCCUUUCAUCUUUUACACUGACACACUAAAUUCAUCACGAUGUUGCAGUUACUUUACACUGCGAUUUUCGGCGAAAUGCUAUUGAUCCUAACCCUAGUUUUCAAAACCCCACUUCGAAAAUUGGUGAUUGUUUCAUUGGAUCGAGUCAAAAGAGGUCGUGGACCAAUCGUUGUUACUACAGUUGGUGCUACGUUGAUCGUUGUGCUUUCUUCUAGUCUUUAUAGUAUGGCUAAGAUCCAACAACGUACGGUGGAAGCUGGUGUUCUUAACCCCACUGAUCAAGUUCUUAUGUCUAAACAUAUGCUUGAAGCUUCUUUAAUGGGUACUUUCCAAUUUCACGUUUUUUUAUGAUUAUUAUUGUUUUGUUUUGUUUUAUUUGAAAUUAGCCCUAUCUGGUAAGAAUUUGUAAUGGGAUUGUUUGUUUUGUUUGAUUAAAUGAUGGAUUAUAUUAUUUUAUUUUAUUUGAGAAUUUUAUGUUUUAAGGGUUAGACAUGUAUGAGUGAAGUCCUAUUUUAGUUAUGAGGAAAAACUGCCACACCCUAUUUUAUAUGUGACGAAAAAUAAAAGCUAAUAUGAAGCACAGACACUCCUCGGAUUAGGCGUGUCCUUGUGUCUGACACAGACACAUAAUUACACUGAAUUAUGCGAUUUUCUCAAAUUAUUAGGAGUGUUGGUAUGUCCGCGUCAGUGUCUUUGUCGUGUCCGGUGACACUGUCCGUAUCUGUACUUCAUAGAAGCUAACUUAUAGCUGACAAGCUUAUAGUGGAUGACUUAUAAGCUAGUUAUAACUGAUAGCGGAUAAACUAGUUGAUUGUAGUGUUUGGUAAAAUUAGUGGUUGAAGUAACUUAUAAAUAUGAAAUGACAUGCAGGGGUAAAAUUGAGAUAAAAAGUGAUAGGUUAUAAGCUUUAAGCUAUAGGCUACUUGAGUUAGCUUAUUAAUAACCGCUAUAAGCUCAAGAAAAUACGCUAUAAGCUCGUGUUAAAAUGGCAGUUACCAAACAAGUAUUUUUUAAUCAUACGGGCUUUUAAGAUAUAUGCCAUAAAACUCAAAUUUAUGUCUUACUUACCAGAGUCUUAGGAGAAAAAUAAACUACGACAAUCUAGUCCUCUACCUUCUUUAAAGAGGCGAGUAUUAAGUUUUUGAGGCAAGGACUAAUUUGUCCAUGGUUAUUUUUCUAGAAGAUUAAAACUUCAAAAGUGGCUUUGAUUUUAUUUUAUUUUAGACUAAGUUGAGUCUUGCAAUUUUACUUAUAGACUAAAAUAGGUAUGCGCUCUGUUUUUUUUUUUGGUCAAACUCAGUAUGUUUUUCGUCUCUAUUGUUAUGUCAAAUUUUGUGUACCUAUUUUUCAGUUCCUUCGAAUAAUAAAAACAUAUUUACCCUUUCUGCAAUGAUUAUAGUUAAAAGGGAAAUUUCUUUGAAGGACUAAUUAGCUUGACAGUGUUUGGUUUGUUGAUCAAAUGCAUUUUUGUUAUUAUCCAUUAUAAAGAAAAUGCCGUAUGUGAUUGUGAUCAACACAGAAGAUGAAUUGAAAAGAUUGUGUUUUGUGCAUUGCUAGUUAAUGUUUAUUUCCUUUGAUAUGAGUUCUAUAUAAGGUAGCUAUGGACCUUUUUAUUGAAUGCUAUUUGGUGUUAUACACUCCUCUGACUUUUAUGACAUCGGAUAAACAAUGAUUCACUUGAUUGGUAUCUGAUCUAGCAGUUAACAUCAAAUGACUCAAUAUUUCGUGGUUUGUUUCGAAUUUUCAUGUUCGUGGGUUAUUGUUUUGGCUGGGAAUGGUGGAGUGUGUCUCGGAGUGGGGUUGUGAUUGUGUGAAUGUUUGACUUAAGCAGGUAUCACUGAAAUAACAGUCAUCAUUAUCAGCUCAGCAAUCGCCGCAAGCAUAUAAUUGAUUGCUUGAAAUUUUUAUGCUUGAGAUGAGCAAUAUCUUUGCUUAUGCCUAUUCCAUAAACUUUUCUGAUCUUGUGUGAUCAUGCAGUGGAUGUUUUAUGGUUAUUGGCUAUGUAUAUAGCAAUCUUCAAACCUUUUAAUAACUCUUUGGUUGAGGGGGUGUUUGAUGCAAAAGUUGGCUAAAGGGGAGGGAAUACAAGGGGCAAAAUUGGAUGGAUUUGGAAUGUAGGAAAAAAUAAUUUAGAAUUUGUUGACUUAACUAUCCUGGUUUUUUCCCAAACUGCAAUUAUAUUUCUCAUUCCUGACAGUCCGUCUUAACAUUGCCGCCUUUAGCGUCUUUACUUUCAUAUUGUGCAAGUCUCAAUAUUAAAGUUUCUUCACGUCAGUCUAAGUCAUAGCAGUUAAUGUUUUUGCAACUUAUUUUCAUCUACCUUGUUGAAUAUCAAUUCUAUUGUUUGUUGCUGAUUUAGAUAUGAUUUGAUUGAUUGAUCCCAACCAAAAGAUUAUGAAGUUUUGAAUUUUUUUAGUACCUUGCUAUAUAGUUUGGUUUCCCAUUUUAGCUAUCUAUUUAUUUAUUUAUUUUACAAUAAUGAUUUUAAAUUUAUAAAUCUGCAUAAUGUAUUGAUGGGGACUAUGGUGAUCUAGUGAUUUUUGAUAUAGCUCAUAUUAUUGACUAGCUUGAUUGGCAUUUCUCUGUUUUCUUGGCAUAAAUACUGAAAACAACAAGAACUAUUUCCCACUAGGUGAGUUGCAUUGAUGGUAUGAACAGAAUCAUUGUGUUUUUGUCAAAAUUAAGUUAUAGAAAAGGCCCAUCCAGAUCUAGGAUUUUUGAAUGGUUCCUCAGAGUUUUCCUUGGUCUUCAUCAACCUUUAUUUCCUGGGCUUCUUCAAUUUGAUAAAUUCUUCUUCUUGCGACUUUCAGUCAUAUGGCUAAACCAUUUUAAGUAAGCUCUAUCAUUUCUAAUCUCAUUUUUCUUGUCCAUUCCACUACCGAAUUUUCAUCCUGGAUACAGGUUAGGUUCUGAUUGGCAUUUUAUCCCUCACCAUUCAUUACUGUAAACCAUUGUUAUUGUUGAUUAUAGCUGUUUGGUAAUUUUUGUUUUAUGAAAUGUGAAGACACCUUUCGAUCACUGAUAAUACACACGAAGCAUUUUCUGCAAUGUAUCCACCUAGUUUGAGUUCGAUGAUUUACAUCUCUCCAUUUCUCCAUCACCAAUUAUGAUUGAUAAUCCAACUUUCUACUGAAUCAAGCAUUACUUUUAUUUUCUUUCAUUUCAUUUAAAAAUAUUUGAAAUAUUCGAAUUUAUUACAUGUAAUAUGCCAGCUGUCUUGUUUGGAUAAUGCUAAUAGAUUUGAAUUUUGUUUUCAUAGUUUUUGCUUACUGGGUUUCAAACCUUCCAUUGCUUGCUUUAGACAGGGUAGAAUUUUGAUUUGUGUUUUCUUUUCACAUUGCAUGACUUUCCCUGCUACUUCUAUACUAGUUCCUAAAGGUGGUUUAUCUUGCCAAGAUUCCUUGAUGUAGCUUUUUUCCCUGUUUUAGCUGUUGCUUAUGAAGCCCAGACGCUUCAAAAAAUGGAGAAGUAUAAAUGUCCGACACAUCCAAUGCUGUGUCUGAUACUUUCCCAUUACGUAUCCAAAUAUUUUUUUUCUUUCUAUUUCUUUAUAGAAAUAUUUUCACCGAUAUACAUCUUCAAUCCACCUCACGUGAUAAAGACAGCUGUCUUCUGGAUACUGUACAUCUUCAAUAUGUCUUACUAACUUAAGACACGACUGUAUGUUUUUGUGAUGCAUUCAGUACAAAUACGUGGGGGAAAUAUAUGUAACUACGCAUACAUUAUGAUCAAAUACUUUCUUGUAACUGCUCAUCAUCAUAUAUCGACUACUACUGAUAUGUUUUAUGU